rnacentral:rRNA from 1 species
UGCAGUCGAGCGGACCGACGGGAGCUUGCUCCCUUAGGUCAGCGGCGGACGGGUGAGUAACACGUGGGUAACCUGCCUGUAAGACUGGGAUAACUCCGGGAAACCGGGGCUAAUACCGGAUGCUUGAUUGAACCGCAUGGUUCAAUCAUAAAAGGUGGCUUUUAGCUACCACUUACAGAUGGACCCGCGGCGCAUUAGCUAGUUGGUGAGGUAACGGCUCCCCAAGGCGACGAUGCGUAACCGACCUGAGAGGGUGAUCGGCCACACUGGGACUGAAACACGGCCCAGACUCCUACGGGAGGGAGCAGUAGGGAAUCUUCCGCAAUGGACGAAAGUCUGACGGAGCAACGCCGCGUGAGUGAUGAAGGUUUUCGGAUCGUAAAACUUUGUUGUUAGGGAAAAACAAGUACCGUUCGAAUAGGGCGGGACCUUGACGGUACCUAACCAGAAAGCCACGGCUAACUACGUGCCAGCAGCCGCGGUAAUACGUAAGUGGCAAGCGUUGUCCGGAAUUAUUGGGCGUAAAGCGCGCGCAGGGGGUUUCUUUAGUCUG